CCUGAAAAAAUGUACAACA
rnacentral:piRNA from 1 species